rnacentral:tRNA from 2 species
GCGGAAGUAGCUCAGUUGGUAGAGCACAACCUUGCCAAGGUUGGGGUCGCGGGUUCGAGUCCCGUUUUCCGCU